rnacentral:rRNA from 1 species
GACGAACGCUGGCGGCGUGCUUAACACAUGCAAGUCGAGCGGAAAGGCCCUUUGGGGUACUCGAGCGGCGGACGGGUGAGUAACACGUGAGUAACCUGCCCUGGACUUUGGGAUAACCCUCGGAAACGGGGGCUAAUACUGGAUAUGACUGCUUCUCGCAUGGGGGGUGGUGGAAAGUUUUUCGGUCUGGGAUGGGCUCGCGGCCUAUCAGCUUGUUGGUGGGGUGAUGGCCUACCAAGGCGACGACGGGUAGCCGGCCUGAGAGGGCGACCGGCCACACUGGGACUGAGACACGGCCCAGACUCCUACGGGAGGCAGCAGUGGGGAAUAUUGCACAAUGGGCGGAAGCCUGAUGCAGCGACGCCGCGUGAGGGAUGACGGCCUUCGGGUUGUAAACCUCUUUCAGCAGGGACGAAGCGGCUGGGUUUUCCCGGUCGUGACGGUACCUGCAGAAGAAGCGCCGGCCAACUACGUGCCAGCAGCCGCGGUAAGACGUAGGGCGCGAGCGUUGUCCGGAUUUAUUGGGCGUAAAGAGCUCGUAGGCGGCUUGUCGCGUCGACCGUGAAAACUUGGGGCUCAACUCCAAGCUUGCGGUCGAUACGGGCAGGCUGGAGUUCGGUAGGGGAGACUGGAAUUCCUGGUGUAGCGGUGAAAUGCGCAGAUAUCAGGAGGAACACCGGUGGCGAA